CACAUCACAGAGUACAUGUUCAGCCUCUGUGACAUUUACAACAUCUGACUAUAAUCAGAAGUUGAAGUAUUCUGAGUUAUUGAAAUGUGAAGUGACAGAUGGUCACACUGAAGAAGUUCAUCAGUUCACCUUCAGCCCUCCUCAGUCCUCAGGUCAUGAUGCAACAACUGAAUCACCAUCGACAACAGGAAAUAAAUGGACGUCAGUGAAAAGGAGCACAUCAGAAGGCUGGUGGAGGUUCAUUGUUGUGUCUGUGGGUUUAGCAGCGCUCAUAAUAAGUGUUGUCACAGUCAACAUAUGGACAAGAACUAAAGGGAACAAAACACAGAUGGAUGAAAACAUGGAGCACAUUGAGGAAGAUGAAGAUGAAGUUACGGUGGACUAUGAAGACAUCAGAGACCCCUCUGCCUCUGUGUGACUCCACUGAUCAACAACAUCAACUCACCACAGAGUCCACUGCUGUUAAA